GCCAGCACCACCUGAGGAUCCGGAAACCGCCCCAGCGAUGGAAGAGGAUCAGGAGCUGGAGAGACUGCUCCUAAAGCCACUCUGUGCGCUGAGCUCUUUU
rnacentral:sRNA from 1 species